CAGUCGCCGCGGUAAUACGAAGGGUGCAAGCGUUACUCGGAAUUACUGGGCGUAAAGCGUGCGUAGGUGGUGGUUUAAGUCCGUUGUGAAAGCCCUGGGCUCAACCUGGGAAUUGCAGUGGAUACUGGGUCACUAGAGUGUGGUAGAGGAUAGUGGAAUUUCCGGUGUAGCAGUGAAAUGCGUAGAGAUCGGAAGGAACAUCUGUGGCGAAGGCGACUAUCUGGGCCAACACUGACACUGAGGCACGAAAGCGUGGGGAGCAAACAGGAUUAGAUACCCCCGUAGUCCCUGUCUCUUAUAC
rnacentral:rRNA from 1 species